rnacentral:rRNA from 1 species
AGUGAACGCUGGCGGUAGGCCUAACACAUGCAAGUCGAACGGCAGCACAGUAAGAGCUUGCUCUUACGGGUGGCGAGUGGCGGACGGGUGAGGAAUACAUCGGAAUCUACUUUUUCGUGGGGGAUAACGUAGGGAAACUUACGCUAAUACCGCAUAUGACCUACGGGUGAAAGCAGGGGAUAUUCGGACCUUGCGCGAUUGAAUGAGCCGAUGUCGGAUUAGCUAGUUGGCGGGGUAAAGGCCCACCAAGGCGACGAUCCGUAGCUGGUCUGAGAGGAUGAUCAGCCACACUGGAACUGAGACACGGUCCAGACUCCUACGGGAGGCAGCAGUGGGGAAUAUUGGACAAUGGGCGCAAGCCUGAUCCAGCCAUACCGCGUGGGUGAAGAAGGCCUUCGGGUUGUAAAGACCUUUUGUUGGGAAAGAAAAGCAGCAGGUUAAUACCCCGCUGUUCUGACGGUACCCAAAGAAUAAGCACCGGCUAACUUCGUG